rnacentral:rRNA from 1 species
CCGACGGGAGGCAGCAGUGGGGAAUAGUGCGCAAUGGGCGAAAGCCGGACGCAGCGACGCCGAGGGAGGGAUGAAGGUCGUCGGAUCGUAAACCUCUGUCAGCAGGGAAGAACGGUCACGGUGCUAAGCAGCAGUGAAUUGACGGUACCUGCAAAGGAAGCACCGGCUAACUCCGUGCCAGCCGCGGGAAGCCGGAGGGUGCGAGUGUUAAUCGGAAUUACUGGGGGUAAAGCGCUCGUAGGCGGUAUGUCAAGUCAAGGGUGAAAUCCCCGCGCUCAACGUGGGAACUGCCUUUGAAACUGGCAAACUGGAGUGUGUGAGAGGCUAGUGGAAUUCCCGGUGUAGUCGUGAAAUCCGUAGAUAUCUGGAGGAACAUCAGUGGCGAAGGCGACUCUCUGGCGCAUAACUGACGCUGAGGAGCGACAGCGUGGGUAGCAAACAGGAUUAGAUACCCCAGUAGUC